rfam:Firmicutes bacterium CAG:466 genomic scaffold, scf160
AAAAGAAAACAGGGGAGCUCAAUGAAUUGGGCUGAGAGGAAGUUUUGCUUCGACCCUUACACCUGAUUUGGAUAAUGCCAACGUAGGAAUCGAUAGAAUGAAUUUU